rnacentral:rRNA from 1 species
UACGAAGGGGGCUAGCGUUGCUCGGAAUCACUGGGCGUAAAGGGUGCGUAGGCGGGUCUUUUAAGUCAGGGGGUGAAAUCCUGGAGCUCAACUCCAGAACUGCCUUUGAUACUGGGAAUCUUGAGUAUGGAAGAGGUGAGUGGAACUGCGAGUGUAGAGGUGAAAUUCGUAGAUAUUCGCAAGAACACCAGUGGCGAAGGCGGCUCACUGGCCCGGUACUGACGCUGAGGUGCGAAAGCGUGGGGAGCAAACAGG